rnacentral:rRNA from 1 species
CCCCUAGAUGUUCUGGGCCGCACGCGCGCUACACUGAACAGUUCAACAAGUCUUAACCUUGUCCGAUAGGUCUGGGUAAUCUUUGAACGCUGUUCGUGAUUGGGAUAGACCUUUGCAAUUAUGGGUCUUCAACGAGGAAUUCCUAGUAAACGCAAGUCAUCAGCUUGCAUUGAUUACGUCCCUGCCCUUUGUACACACCGCCCGUCGCACCUACCGAUUGAAUGGUCCGGUGAAAUCUCGGGACGGCGGCUUGGUCGCUUGCGUCCGACUGCUGAAACUUGAUUAAACCAUAUCAUUUAGAGGAAGGUGAAGUCGUAACA